CCAUGAAAGGGACACUAGAUAUUUAGUCUUUGGUUGAUACUAGAAUUAGUUGCGGUGACCAAUUGGCAAACAUCCUUGCCUCAGUGUUGUACCUGUCUUUCUCAUAAUUACAGGAAUUGUGUGACGAGACAUCAGUGGCUGUGACUGAAUGCAGUGUGAAUCCUUCCUCAUCAGUGAAACAGAAAGAAAAAGCCAAAUGAAUCAGGAUGAAACUGAGAACUCCAGAGAGACCAAAUUGAGGAGAAUUGCGAAAAGGCCAUGGAGCCCAAAUGAAGUGAAUGCUGUCAUGAAACAUUUCAGAGUCCAUAUUUCAAAGGGACACCUUGCAACAAAGGCAGAGUGU